CCAGGCGGCGAAAGCCGACGGAAAGUGGCACAGAAAGGAGACCGCCAGCCGGCGACACGCUCUCUCCGGAGACGCCGGCCGGUAAGGGUGAAAGGGUGGGGUAAGAGCCCACCAGCGUCGUGGUGACACGGCGGCUCGCCAAACCCCGUCCGGUGCAAGGCGAACAGGCCCCGCCACCAGGUGGCCCGCCGAGGGGCCGGGUGCGCUGCUUGAGCCGCCGGGAGACCGGCGGCCCAGAUGGAUGGUCGCCCAAGACAGAAUCCGGCUUACAGGCCUGCUACGGAA
rnacentral:RNase_P_RNA from 1 species